CAAUAGCGUAUAUUAAAGUUGUUGCGGUUAAAAAGCUCGUAGUUGGAUUUCUGCCGAGGACGACCGGUCCGCCCUCUGGGUGAGCAUCUGGCUCGGCCUGGGCAUCUUCUUGGAGAACGUAUCUGCACUUGACUGUGUGGUGCGGUAUUCAGGACUUUUACUUUGAGGAAAUUAGAGUGUUUCAAGCAGGCACACGCCUUGAAUACAUUAGCAUGGAAUAAUAAGAUAGGACCUCGGUUCUAUUUUGUUGGUUUCUAGAUCUGAGGUAAUGAUUAAUAGGGAUAGUUGGGGGCAUUCGUAUUUAACUGUCAGAGGUGAAAUUCUUGGAUUUGUAAAAGACGGACUACUGCGAAAGCAUUUGCCAAGGAUGUUUUCAUUGA
rnacentral:rRNA from 1 species